rnacentral:rRNA from 1 species
UACGUAGGGUGCAAGCGUUGUCCGGAAUUAUUGGGCGUAAAGAGCUCGUAGGCGGCUCGUCGCGUCGGCUGUGAAAACCUGGGGCUCAACCCCGGGCCUGCAGCCGAUACGGGCGAGCUAGAAUUCGGUAGGGGAGACUGGAAUUCCUGGUGUAGCGGUGGAAUGCGCAGAUAUCAGGAGGAACACCGAUGGCGAAGGCGGGUCUCUGGACAGUUCCUGACACUGAGGCACGAAGGCCAGGGGAGCAAACGGG